UACGUAGGGGGCGAGCGUUAUCCGGAGUUACUGGGCGUAAAGCGCACGCAGGCGGUCAGAUUAGUCUGUCGUGACAGUCGUCGGCUUAACUGACGAAGUACGAUGGAAACUGUCUGACUUGAGGGCUUCAGAGGGACACGGAAUUCCGGGUGGAGUGGUGAAAUGCGUAGAUAUCUGGAGGAACACCGGUGGCGAAGGCGGCAUCCUGGACCGAUACUGACACUGAGGAGCGAAAGCCAGGGGAGCAAACGGG
rnacentral:rRNA from 1 species